rnacentral:lncRNA from 1 species
AAAAGAAAAAAAAAGACACAUAGAUUGGAGGUAAAGGAAUGGAAAAUGUAUUCCAUGCAAAUGGAAACCAAAAGAACUGGGAUAGCUAUACUUAGGUAAAAUAGAUUUUAAGUAAUGUAUACAAGGAGACAAAGGUCAUUGUAUAAUGAUAAAGGGAUCAAUUCAAGAGGAUAUAACAAUUAUAAAUAUAUAUGCACUCAGCAUCAGAGCACCUAAAUAUAUAAAGCAAAGAUAUAAAGAUCUGAAGAGAUAAACUGCAAUACAAUAAUGGUAGGGUACCUCAAUACCCAUUUUCAACAAUGUACAGAUCAUGCAGACAGAAAAUCAAUAUGGAAAUGUUGGAAUUGAGCCACAGUUUAGACAAAUGGAUCUAACAUAUAUACAGAACAUUUCAUCCAAUAGCAACAGAAUACACAUUAUUUUCAAGCUCACACAGAGCUUUCUGCAGAAUAGAUCAUACAUUAAGCUACAAAAGAAAACUUAACAAAUUUAAGCAGGUUAAAGUCAUAUCCAGUAUCUUUCAACCACAGUGGUAUGAAAUUAGGAAUUAAUAAUAGGAAAAAUGUCAGAAAAUUCACAAUAUGUAGAAUUAAACCAAAUUCUCCUGUACAACCAGUGGGUCAAAGACAAAAGUAAAAGGGACAUUAAAAAUUGUCUUGAGACAAAUGAAAAUGGAAACACCACAUGCCAAAACUUGCGGGUAGCAGCCAAAGCAGUCCCAAGAGGAAGAUAAUAGCAAUAAACACCUAUAUCGAAAAAGAAGAAAGACUGUGAACCAUCUAACUUUAUAUCUUAGGGAACUAGAAAGAGAAGAAUAAAUUAAGGCCAAAGUUAGUAGGAGGAAGGAAAUAAUAAAGAUCAGAGCAGAAAUAAACACAAACUAGAAAAACAACAGAAAAGAACAAAACUAACAGUUGGUUUUUAAGAUAAAAUCAACAAACCUUGAUCUAAACUAAGAAAUGAGAGAAGGCUAAAAUAAAAUUAGAAAAUAAAGCAGAGACAUUAUACAUGAUACUACAGAUAUACCAAGGAUCUUACGAGAUUGCCAUGAACUUGCUAACAAAUUGGAUAACCUAGAAGAAAUGGAUGAAUUCCUAAAACCAUAGAAUCUAUAUGAGCCGUAUACUUUCUUAACAUUUCUGCCAUCCUCCCUAUCCUCUUUGGUAUAGCCUCUCUUCAGACUGCCUCCUUAGCUCUCUUCUGGAUCACUAUAACAGCCUAACAAUUGUAUCACCUUCAGUUUUGCUCUUCCUUCCAUAUGACUAAAUAAAUGAAAAAUUUGAUCAGACAUUAACGAGUAGGGAGAGUGAAUUGGUAAUAAAAGGUCCACUUAUUUUGUCUUACAGUGAGAGUGGCUUGCUAUUAUCUCCCAUUAUUGAUGCAUUUCUAUCUUUGUCUUCCUGCAUCCCCUGCAGUUUUUGCUUCAUAAGAAUGUUUGCAGUGUUAUUUGGUACCAUACAUAUUCAUGUUAGGUCUUUAUUGUGAAUUACAGAUUUUAGAAUUAAAAAGGAGAUUUGGGCCGGGCACAGUGGCUCACGCCUGUAAUCCCAACACUUUGGGAGGCCGAGGUGGGCAGAUCACCUGAAGUCAGGAGUUUGAGACCAGCCUGCCCAGCAUGGUGAAACCCCGUCUCUACUAAAAAAAAAUACCAAAAAUUAGCCAAGUGUGGUGUCAGGCGCCAUAAUCCCAGCUACUCAGGAGGUUAAGGCAGGAGAAUCACUUGAACCUGAGAGACGGAGGUUGUGGUAAGCCAAGAUCGCCCCAUUGUACUUUAGCCUGGACAACAAGAACGACUCUGUCCCAAAAAAAAAAAAAAAAAAGAGAUUUGAGGGUCAUAUUUAUAUUUUUUUGGCUUGGAUUCUACGUUGCCUAGUAUCAGGAUCACCUCCCCUAUUUUCUUAUUGUUCUCAUUUCCCCUAUAUUUCAUUGUCCAUCCCAUUAUUUUUAGUCUUCUUACAUCACUUUGUUUCUUGUAUACAGUAUACUGUUGGUUCUAGCUUUGUAAGACAAAUUGAAAUAAGCUGAAUAGGUGAGUCAAGCCCACUCAUCAUUCAUAUGACUGAGUGUUUGGUUUGAAGCCUGUCAUAAAAUUGUAUUGUUAUAUUUGCUAUAUUUAUUUUCUGUGCAAUGUGUACUAUUUGUCAUUUUAUGAAAAUGUUUUACUGAUAGUUAAGAAUUUUUAUUCUAGUGGUUAUCUUUGUAUUUAUACUUUAUUCUCCAUUUUCUUAUUUAAGAUUUACUAUCUAGUUUGUCAGGUUUUAAUGCCUGUAAUUCACACUUAUUGCCUAUACAGCGAUCAAUGAUUUUAAUCUCACGUCUUUUUGCUCCCAUUUUUUAGUUGUUUUAUUUCUACCUGAUUGCAACAUAUAAUGUUUGUGUAUUGGUUUUGCACUCGAAUUCCUACUGUUGGUUUAGUCUGAAAGCUACUAUUAAAUAUAGUAAAUAUUGUAAUUUUAUUUUGCUGAAGUUUUUCAGUCAUCUCUUGUUGAAUGAAGCUCAUUCAUUAGUAGAUCUUCAUGAGUGGCUCAGGGGUACAUAAUUGUCUAAGUUAUGUGUUUGAAGCUGUUUUUCUAUUAUAGUGUUUUAUACUGAAGGACAGCUUGACUGAAUAUAAAAUCUUGGUUCACACUUUCAGUUUUUUGAAAAUUUAUUGUCUUGCUUUAUAUAUAUUUUUUGAGAAAUCUGAUACCAGUCUAAUUAUUUUGCCCUUGUAAAUUAUUUGAUCACGUAUCCCUGAAUCCUCGAGGAUUAAAAAAUUUUUUUCGGCCUGGCUCGGUGGCUCACGCCUGUAAUUCCAGCACUUUGGGAGGCUGAGGCGGGCAGAUCACGAGGUCAGGAGAUCAAGGCCAUCCUGGCUAACAUGGUGAAACCCCAUCUCUACUAAAAAUACAAAAAAUUAGCCUGGUGUGGUGGUGGGCGCCUGUAGUCCUGGCUACUCGGGAGGCUGAGGCAGGAGAAUGGCGUGAACCCGGGAGGCAGAGCUUGCAGUGAGCCGAGAGUGCGCCACUGCACUCCAGCCUGGGCAACAGAGCGAGACUCCGUCUCAAAAAAAAAAAAAGAAAAAAAGAAAAAUUUUUUUUUCAAGUUUAAAUAGUUUUACUGAGAUGUGUCUUGGAGUUAACAUUCAAAGUUUACUUUUCCAGUUAACUGGAAAUCCCUUUCAAAAUGUAGAUUCAGAUCCUUUUUAUUUCUGAUAAUUUUUCAUGGAUUAUAAUGUUAAAUAUUCUGUUCCAUUGUUUUUUAUUUCUUCUUCAGGGGUUCCAAUUAUAUGUGAGUUAUUUAUCUUUUGUUCAACUUUCUCUUUCUGACCAUUUUUCCUUCUUUUCUGUAUCGUAUUUAUUUGUUUAUUUUUGCAUCUAUCCAGUGUCUAAGUUUUCAUUAGUCUGUUUUCCUUUGGACACCUUGUAAUUUAGUCUUCAUUUAUAAUUCCCCCCCUUCCAUUUCUUUCUUGAAUUCAAUAAUCUUUAAAUUUACUCGUGGUUUUUUUAAUCUAUUUCUGUUUUUUAUAUUUUGAAUUUCCAAUUCACGGUGCUUUUUCAUAUCCCCAAAUGCUUAUCUGAGGAUUUUAUUCAGUUUGAUAUGUUGUGUUACAAUUUUCUUCUGAUUUAAUGGUUGCUUUUUGGUAGAGAAUUUUCAUCAGCCAAUGCAUGUUAAUUAUUGUUUGCUGAUUUCUCAUACUACCAUUAUAUAGAUUUAGUCCAUUUCCUUCCAUUCAUUUUUUUGAAUUUGAGGGGUUAUAAGAUUCCUAGUUCAGAAGGACUCUCUCUGUCAGCAUAGAAAAUACAAUUUCUUUAGGGGGUGUUUUUUUUAACUUUAUAGUAGAGGGAGGGAUUAUGUAUGUUCCAGUUUUUUGUUUUUUGUUUUUGUCUUGCAGGACCCUGAAUUUCUCCUGUUGCUUCUUUUCCCCUUCACCAUCCAGUUGCCAAAAGGCACCUUGCCUAUUCUUUUUGCUCUCUCCACUCCCUGAAGCUAUCCUGUAAUAAGUGUUGUGAUACUAAGAUACUUUAUAUUUUUGCACCUAGGAUAGAAUUUCUAUCUCUGCUGGUGAUUUUAGACCAAUUUUAGGCCUGCCACUAGAUCCGUUUUUCUUUAUUCUGUAUGUUCUUCUUUGGCCUGCCCUUGCUUGCUACAAAGGCUUAUGGUAGAAAUGUGAAAGAUCACUCACUUGGAUUUGGUGCUUUUAAUUUUUUUACUUAUAAGUAUUUGACAUUUGGCUAUAUUUUUCUUCUUGUUAGGCUGAGGGUGUAUUUUGUAUAGAUUUAUUUAUUCUUCUUGUUCUGUAUCGUUUAUGACGGACAUAGGUAGCUGCCAUUUUAUUUUAUUACCGCGAAGUCCUCACCUAUUCACUCUUAAAUCUACCUCAUUGAAGACUUCAAUAACUAUUUGUUGUUGGAAGCCAUAAUGAAACUGUUGAUCAAAUUACCCAAUCCAAAUCAAAUUAACCAAAAAGACUUUCUUCAGUCUUCAUAUUAAUUACCUUCCCUGCAGAACAGAACAUGGUUGCCCAUUAUGUGAAAUUCCUUUUACUUCUUUGGUGGUCCUGUCUGUUUUCUUAUGCCUAAUUGUUGCUUACGGUAUACUUGCUGUUUGUUUGUUUGUUUGUUUGUUUCUUUUAUACACUCAUUAAGUGAGUUCUCCAUCUAAAUAUCCCAUAAGGCACUUCAGAAUCAACAUAUCCAAAAGGAAACAUAUUUUACUCAUCUCCAAAUCUUUUGUUUCUCCAGCAAUUCAAGUUUUGGUGAAUGAAGCUAUGAACAAUCCAGUAAUCCAAACCAGAAACUUGAGAGUCAUCUUUUUUACACCUCCCACUUUGCAUCUCUCACAUUGAAUAAGCAAUCAUGCCCUGAGCCAUAUACUUUCUUAGCAUCUCUGCCAUCCUCCCUAUCCUCUUUGGUAUGGCCUCUCUUCAGACUGCCUCCUUAGCUCUCUUCUGGAUCACUAUAACAGCCUAACAAUUGUAUCACCUUCAGUUUUGCUCUUUCUUCCAUAUGACUAUCAGAAUUAUUUCUCUGGAAGAUCAUGUCAAUCACUCCUUCUCAGUGGUUCUUCAUUGCCUAUAGGAAGAAAUCCAAACUCCGUAGCAUGAGAGAAAUGUUUUUCAUAAUGACUUUAUCCUGCCUUUCUAUUGUUUCUUUCAUAUCAUGCCCAGCUCAGCCCCCCAUUCAAUGAAAAUCAUACUAAACUACUUUAAUUCCACUAACAUGUUGUGCUAGUUAAGCCUCUUUACCUUUGUUCAUGCUGUUUUUACUCAGACCACUCCAUUCCACAACAUACACUUGGGGGAUACCUACUAAUUUUGAAGACCCCCUUCAGCCCUGAUGUUAACCUUCUUUGUGGAAUCAUUAUUGACAUGAUGGAUAGAAUUGGUCAGAUGCUUCCUUGUUCAUCAGUUGUACUAGGCACAGCAUUCUAAUGUAGCACCUAUUACACAUUUUAAAAUUUGUUUACAUGUCUCCCCUCAUGUAAGUUUGUAGGACUGGUACCUGAAAUAUACUAGGCUUACCUUACUGACAUUUUGAAAUAUAAGAUAGCUUUCCAAGGCUUGCUUUUGCCUCCUGAUUCAGGACUCUACCAUUGGCAUCAUCAGGAAGAAUUUCUAAUAGUAUUAUUGAUCAGAGUCUUCUGGAAGUUUCUGCAGGUUACACAUCAACUUACUUUUCCCUGACAAAAUAAUUCUGCAUCUAGAAACACAAACAAGUAGUCAAAGAAGUUAUAUUGGAACUAAGAGAUGAAUUACCAAAGGAAAACUGAAAUCAAGAAACAUUUGAUGAAAUUCAGGCAAUGUCUUCAGGUGCCAGAGGACACAGAAAUGUCCCGAGAACCAUUCACAUGAUCUUAAAGAAACUUCUGCUGGUUGUCUUGUACCUUUGAAGCAGGUGUGAUUGAGAUGGAUACCUUAAUUUUUUUAAAGUAAAAAUUGUUCAUUCUCUUAUGUACUUUAGCAUACUGGUAUUCUUAUCAAAAUAUGAAACAGCAUCAAGUUUAAUAUUAAUUAUAAAACACAUGGUAUAUUUAUAUUUCUGCUCUUUAUUUUCUAAAGUUAACUCAGUUAACUCUCCAUAUAGGUAUUUGGACAUGGGCUGUAACCACUUUUUAGAACAAAUACUGUGAAGAUUGUUUUAUUACAUGACAUUUUAUGAUGUGAGAUUAACACCUUUGUGUUAGUAAACAUCCUAGAUUGUUCACUUCAAUAUAGAUUUUUAAAAUGUAUAGUUAUACUUGUGCAGGAUACUAGAAAAUGAAAAUGACUGUUCACACAUGCUUUAUUAUUCAGUAAUUUUACAAGAAAAUAUUACUGUUUGAAAGAAAAUCAUGCAUGCCUAAAACUGAUUCUGUUCCAGUUUUAUAAGUUAGUAUACUAAUUUUAAGACAUUGUGUAUAUUUCCUUCACUUAAUUUCUAUUUUCUACUGCAUUUCUACCAAUAUAAAAAACAAAGAAUUCAGUUGGUUCCUUUCUAGAGGGAAAAUUUGUUGUGAGUAUAGUACUGGGCAUCACAUGCUGCUUCCCUUUGUGGCUUUGAAUAAACCCUUAUUUUCUUGUCCAUUUUGUCUCAAAGAAUUUUAAAUGGCAUUGUCUAAACUCAGGAGUAUUGUGUGGAUUGAUUAGUAUGAGAAGUUUCUUUCAUGGUAAGUAUAGAGUUUAAGUAUAUAAAAUCAACUCUUGGUCAUAUAUGUAAAACACAAUUGAGAAGUAAAACUUGCCAUCAACUCUUGGUUAUAUACAAAAAAAUUGAGAAGUAAAACUUGCCAUACAUAUUAGUACAAGUAAUUAAAAACGGAUUAUAGCUUGAAAGGCAUUAGAUCUCACAUUAUUUACAUUCUCACUCCUUUUAGCUCCUUUGCUUUUUUGUUCUCUUGUUUGCAAAGAUUAAAAAUAAUGUUCCUGGCAUUUUAAUGGAACAUUACCAAAUGUACAUUCAUGUGUAUUGAUCAAAGACCAACUUUCAUUAGUGAAAAAAUCUAAUUUUUUCUAGACCAAUUAAAAGGAUAAAAUUCUCUUAUUUGAAUAAUAAGAGAAUUAAAGAGUUUAUUAAGCAAAAACAGUUGCUGAAAAAGCGUAGCAAAGACUGACUAGACUGGCUAGAAUUUCCUCUUCUUCCAGGACAGAUGGUUCUACGACAUUUUAAGCCUUCUUUGUAAUGGCCGAGUGACUGGGUUCUAGCUAGUGGAAUGUGAGUGGAAGCCUUUUACCUCAGAAAAGACACACAAUUCUGCAUGCCCUUUCCCCUUCUGUGGCAUGGUGCAAACAUGCAUGGUGACUUUGGAAGCCACAUUUUGACGAUGGUGGAGCCGCAAGAUGAAAAGAGCCUAGGUUCCUGAAUCACCAGGUGGAGGAAUAUUGCCAAUCCAUCAUUGUCGCCUGAACCUAUAUAGAAAUUGGUACCUUGAAAAGUGGAGGUUUCUGAACAAAAAAACCUUUAAGUUUUGCAGACUGUUCAAGAAGAAUGGUGCCAGCAUCUGCAUCAGGUGAUGGCUUCAAGUUAAAGAAAGAAGGUUCAUGGAAGAAGGUGAAGGGGAGCCAAGCUGGCUGUGUACAGAUAGCACAUAACCAGAAAGGAAGCAAGAGAUAUCCAGUUGUCCCAGCACAAUUUUUUGAUAAGACUAUUGUUUUCUUUCAUUGAAUUUGUUUGGCAAACUUACCAAAAAUCAAUUGACCGUAAGUAUAAGGAUGGAUUUCUGGACUCUCAAUUGUAUUUCACUGGUGUAUGUCUGUCCUUAUAUCAGUACCACACAGUCUUGAUUAUUUGCUUUUGUGGAUUCUUUAGGGGGUUACAUAUACACAAUCAUGUCAUUUGUGAAGAGAGACUGUUUUACUUUUUCCAUAUGGACUCGUUUUUAUUUAAUUUUCUUACCUAAUUCCUUUUCUAGAACCCACAGUACAAUGUUGACUAGAAGCUGAAAAAUUGGACACUGUUUUUCUGGAUUGUAAGCGAGAAACAUUGUGUCUCACCAUUAAGUAUGAUGUUAGCUAUGGUUUUCAUAAAUACCUUUUAUCAGGUUGAGGAACAUUCCUUCUCUAUUAAUUUCCCAGGGAUGCUAUAACAAAAUGCUAUAAAUUUGAUGGCAUAAACAGUACAUUAUUGUCUCAUUUCUGGGGGCCAGAAGUCUGAAAUCAAGGAAUUAGCAGGGCCACACUCCAUCUGGAGGGUCUAGGGAAGAAUUCUUCCUUGCCUCUUCCAUCCUGUGGUUGCUAUCAGAAUUCCUUGGCUUCCUUGGCUUGUGAUAACAUAAUCUAAUCUCUGCCUCCAUCUUCACAUAGCCUUAUUCUCUCUGUCUGUGUCUGCCCCUUUUCUAAGGAAACUUGUCACUGGAUUUAAGGAAUACCUGAAUAUUCCAGAUUUAUCUCAUUUCAGGAUUCUUCACUGAAUUACAUCUGCAAAGAUCUGUCUUCCAAAUAAGGUGCCAUCCACAGUUUUGAGGAUUAGGGCACAGAUUUCUUUUGGGGGUAUUCGGGGUACUGUUCAACCACUACAGUCUGCCCCCUAGCUCCCCACAAUUCACAUUUAUCUCACAUAUCUUCUUUCAUCUUCUUUCAUUCCUGAUCCUGAUUAUUUGAGUCUUCUCUCUCUUUUUGUUGGUUAGACUAAUUAAAAGUUUAUCAACUUUUAUAUCUUUUCAAAGAAGCAAUUUUUGAUUUUUUCUUUUCUAUUUAUUUAUUUAUUUAGAGACGG